rnacentral:tRNA from 1 species
UCCCUGGUGGCUCAGAUGGUAAAAGCGUCUGUGUACAAUGCAGGAGAGCCGGGUUCGAUCCCUGGUUUGGGAA